rnacentral:rRNA from 1 species
GACGAACGCUGGCGGCGUGCCUAAUACAUGCAAGUUGAGCGCUGAAGGUUGGUACUUGUACCGACUGGAUGAGCAGCGAACGGGUGAGUAACGCGUGGGGAAUCUGCCUUUGAGCGGGGGACAACAUUUGGAAACGAAUGCUAAUACCGCAUAAAAACUUUAAACACAAGUUUUAAGUUUGAAAGAUGCAAUUGCAUCACUCAAAGAUGAUCCCGCGUUGUAUUAGCUAGUUGGUGAGGUAAAGGCUCACCAAGGCGAUGAUACAUAGCCGACCUGAGAGGGUGACCGGCCACAUUGGGACUGAGACACGGCCCAAACUCCUACGGGAGGCAGCAGUAGGGAAUCUUCGGCAAUGGACGAAAGUCUGACCGAGCAACGCCGCGUGAGUGAAGAAGGUUCUCGGAUCGUAAAACUCUGUUGGUAGAGAAGAACGUUGGUGAGAGUGGAAAGCUCAUCAAGUGACGGUAACUACCCAGAAAGGGACGGCUAACUACGUG